GCCGGCGACCGGCGCACGGGUGCGUAACGCGUAUGCAACCUACCUUUAACAGGGGGAUAAUCCGAAGAAAUUUGGUCUAAUACCCCAUAAUAUCAUUUAAGGCAUCUUAGAUGGUUGAAAAUUCCGAUGGUUAGAGAUGGGCAUGCGUUGUAUUAGCUAGUUGGUGAGGUAACGGCUCACCAAGGCUACGAUACAUAGGGGGACUGAGAGGUUUUCCCCCCACACUGGUACUGAGACACGGACCAG
rnacentral:rRNA from 1 species